rnacentral:rRNA from 1 species
GGUUUGAGAACCCUUGCCCUUAAGGCACCAGAUCCUGUCUGAUCUUGGAAGCCAAACUGGGUCAGCCUUGGUUAGUACCUGGAUGGAAGACUCUCAGUGAAGUCAGGUACUGUAGGUC